AUGGAGCUUGAAGGGUGUGUAGAUUGGAGAGGGAAUGCUGCGGAUCGAAGGAAGCAUGGAGGCAUCAAGGCUACAAUCUUCCUCUACGUUUUGGUCGUGCUGCGAAGUUGCCCCAGCAGCACAAACUUCAGUCUUGUGGCCUAUUUCCACAGGACACUACAUCUGGAUAUUGUGACCUCCUCAGCUGUGAUCACCUAUCUGGUCGGUGCAGUGUCCUUCUUUGCUGCCCUGAUGAACUUUAUCUCUGGCAUAUAUAUCCGGCGAACCACCGCUAUAUUUGUAUUCAGUCCCCUUGCAGUCCUGGGCUAUAUGUUGCUAGCAUUGCAGGCAUACUUGCCUUCACAACAUCCUCUGGAUUGUGAGAUAAACAAAGAACCAAACAACUGUGAGUCAGCUAAAGGUUGGAGCUUAACACUGCUCUACUUGAGCUUAUUAAUGUUUGCCAUCGGAGAAGGCUGCAUGCGCGCUUGCAUACCAUUGCUUGGUGGAGAUCAGUUCAGCAAUGAUGAUCCAAAAGAAACACAUCUCAAGAGUACGUUCUUGAGCUGGAUCAAGUUUGCAAACUCUGUUGGAGCACUCAUGGGAUUGGUAUUCUUAGUCUGGAUCGAGAACAAUUUGGGCUGGGCCCUUGGCUUUAUGAUAUCUGCACUUAUUGUACUUGUAGGGCUGUUUGUGGCAGCCAGUGGACUGCCUUUCUAUAGAACACAGAAGCCUAAUGGAAGUCCUCUAAAGGGAAUAUUGCAGGUUCUUGUCACUUCAUCAAAGAAGAGGCAGGUUGCUACCAUAGAUGUUAUCGAGCUGCAGGAGAUAGGAGCAGCGGAUAGUGUUGAUGGGGAAGGCAGAUCUGACAGCAAGAGCACUGGCACCACUCAGAUCGAAGAGUUAACAAAGGCCAUCACCCGAAUGCUUCCAAUCUUCAUCAGCUGCUUGCUCAUCUACCUGCCCUUCACACUGCUAAUGACACUAACGAUACAAGUCGGAAGCACCAUGGACAAAGGGAUAGGCGCGAUCCAGAUAUCCUCCGCCUCUCUCAUUGCAAUCCCAACAGCAUUUCACAUGCUUAUGCAACCAUGCUACAGGCGGAUAUUGAUGCCACUGCUACAAAGAUUUACAGGCCACACACACGGAAUCACCCCACUGCAGAGUAUCGGUGCUGGCUCGGUGUGCGGGGUAGCAGCAGCAUGCCUUGCGGCGUUAGUGGAAACAAGAAGGCUGACAGUCGCAGAACAGCAUGGGCUAACAUCGACAGGAGCAGGUGUCCCGAUGUCCGUGUUCUGGUUGGUGCUGCAAUUCUUCCUGCUAAGCAUCAUGGAUGCAACAUCCUUCAGCGGACUGAUUGAGUUCAUAAAGAGCGAGUCAUCUCCGGAAAUGAAGCUGAUAGCACCGGCAGCGCAGUCCAUUAUUGCAGGAAUAGCAGCCUGGUUAGCAUGUGCCAUCAUACAGCUGGCGAACAACGCGUCACGGCGCGGCGAUGGUGGAAGAGGGUGGCUAGAUGGAGCAGACUUCAACAGGACACGCCUUGAUCGUUUCUUCUUUUUACUGGCAGCCUUCGAGCUGGUGGCACUCAUCAACUAUGCUUUCUGGGCUAGGAGAUAUGCCAAGAAGCAACGGAGCAGCGGUGUUGGAUUAGUCGGUCAUAGCUCUGAAAACUAA
rnacentral:rRNA from 1 species